AACUAGCUUGCAUGAGCGAUAGAAACGACAUCCUUUUUAUGUAUAAAUUGGUUCUAAACUUUUUUUAGAUAGCUUUAACCUUAUAAAAAACCAGAUACUGAUACAAGUUCUGCAUAAAUAAAAAGAUACAGUGAAUAGCGCAGUUUUUG
rnacentral:sRNA from 1 species